UCUCUCUCUCUCCCUUCCAAGUUCCAAACCCUUUUUUGAUUUUGAGUGAUUAUGGUGGACAUUGUAGGUUCUCUUUCACACUCUUGCGUCUGCAGAAUCACGGACCAAACACGAGCCAACGAAGGGCGAGAGAGAGAGAGAGAGAAAGAGA